AUUGAACGCUGGCGGCAUGCCUUACACAUGCAAGUCGAACGGUAACGCGGGGCAACCUGGCGACGAGUGGCGAACGGGUGAGUAAUAUAUCGGAACGUGCCCAGUCGUGGGGGAUAACUGCUCGAAAGAGCAGCUAAUACCGCAUACGACCUGAGGGUGAAAGCGGGGGACCUUCGGACCUCGCGCGAUUGGAGCGGCCGAUAUCAGAUUAGGUAGUUGGUAAGGUAAUGGCUUACCAAGGCCGCGAUCUGUAACCGGUCUAAGAGGACGGUCGGUCACAAUGACACUGAAUAACGGGUCAGACUCCUACGGGAGGCAGCAGUCGGGAAUUUUGGGCAAUGGGCGAAAGCCUGACCCAGCAACGCCGCGUGGAGGAUGAAGUAUUUCGGUAUGUAAACUUCGAAAGAAUGGGAAGAAUAAAUGACGGUACCAUUUAUAAGCUCCGGCUAACUACGUGCCAGCAGCCGCCGUAACAC
rnacentral:rRNA from 1 species